ACUUGUUUUUACAUAUGACUAGAACUUGUUAUUGAGUUGUUUUUGUGCUCUUUGCACACUUCACUGUGUAGUAUGUAAAUUCUUUUUAGUACAUCCAAAACUUCUAAAGCUAUGCAGCUUGUGUGGUGUUUAACUGCUUAUAACAGCUGUUUAUGAGAUAGUGUGAUCCAACCAAUAAGCAGGUUAGGAAAUGAUAAGCGCAGCAGGGUUAGUCUUUUGAGGUGUUUUGCCUUAGGGAAUAACAACCAAACUUUCUUUGCUGUGGGGACAGUGACGAGGGGAUUUUUCAGGUUUGUUUUCUGGGUUUUUUGCACUGUGCCAGAUACAAAAGGAAAAAAUGAGGUUGUAUAAGACAAUACCUACUUUCAUUCUCUUGCUUACAGGAUAUUUUUGUAAAAAUAUGCAGGUUGCUGCGAACCAAACAUCUUUGCAAUCAGAGGAAACGUACAGUGUCACAUCUGGUGUCUCACCUUUUCACACUGCUGAACCAGCAACAGAUGGGAAAGAUCAUGUUCCAGGCUGA
rnacentral:lncRNA from 1 species